CUGCCCGUCUCCCCCCAGCCGCCCCCGCACUAUGCCCGCCCCGCUCCUCCUGCUCCGCUCCGUGCUGCUCUGGGCAGUAGAGCGGCCGCGCUCGGCAGCUCAGGAAGGGGGCUCGCUGGGCCGGGUCCCGCCUCUCCAUCCUGCUUCAGCGGCUCUGGGACUGGCUGACAUAUGAGGAGUUCCGGCAAUCUGUGCUGAGCUGCGUGAUGCGCCUGGCCCGAAAGGUGACCGAGCGGAGUAUCGCCCGGUUGCCAUGGGUACUCGCCUGCGACGCGGCGCGCCGUGACGUCAUCGGAUGGCGACGCGGACGUGCGGCCGGACGAGGUGGCGGGCGGCAGCGCCGUGGAGCAGCGUCGUCAUGACUACUUGCCUGGCAACCGAGACGGCAGGACCGCGUCACAGGAUGUGCGCCGGGACGCCAGACAGGAAGCCGGAGCAGCGUGGCCAACGGCGUUUGCAACGGGACAGCGCGAGAAAAAAGGGGGAACCACCCAUCAUGCCCGAGGAUACCCAGCAGGAAACUGACUUGCAGAAAUCGUACACACUACACCUGCAAGCGAUUGAUCCAAACCAGCCAACCACGCCGCAGGACAUAACCCAACCACCCCAAACAUCCCACAGCCCCCAAUUGAGCCCAACACCACCCCAGCCACAAAUGGCCCAGAGUUUUGGUCCAGUUGGGCCACACAACAGGCGCAACACUAUGCCUGUCUGAACACCCACAGCCAAUACCUUGCCAGUCUGCCCCAUCAUCUGCCUAGACUCAGUCGGAACUCAGGCAGACUGAUAGUUCAAGUUGGCAGAGUAGCAAAUUCUAUGGGGCAGAUGAGGGCAGACAACAGCCAAAUGCACGCAAAUUUACAAAGAAUCAUGGAUGACCAACAGCGGCAGCAACAAGCCCUCAUACAAAUUAUACAACAUAACCAAUUAAUAAACGAAAGCCUCUCCCGAAUCAUUGCCAACAACACUGCCGCAACUACACAACUCACAGCAAGCCUCAACAACCUGAGCCAAAGCCUAAAUGUGUUGGCAUCCCACCAACUAAGCUCAAGUUCAGGAACAACCACACCAAGCCAGACCCCAGUUACCUCCCCAGUUAGACGAUCCAGGAGAACCAGGACCAAUGAACCAUCCCAAUCCUCUGCACCCAGCAAACAAAAAACAAAGAAAUGAUCAAGGCUGCAGCAACAACUACAGUAUGUUAUUAGAAAAUUACAAAUUAUCUAAUUGAUUCACUCAAAAUGCCUGAGUUUAAGGUAAUAAUUUAAUCAUACGCAAUAUGUGUAAUGUUUCAUUUGUUAAUGAGUGACAGUGUAAGUUAUACAUUUUAUUGCCUAACUGUAAACAACAUGAGAAAUAACAAACAAUAAUGCAACACAAACAGAAUUCAGACCUAUGAAACAUUUUAUAAUUGGUGUUAGGCAAGGUUAAUUAUGAAUAAAUAAUACUUACCGGUAAAAUAACGCAGAAUCACUUCUUGCCUUACCUGCCUCCCUACAUCUGUACUCACACUGUCGCCAGAUGUUUCUAACUCACCUACUUGCUGACUGUUUUCUUCAUCACCAACAUGUGGCAGAUGUUGGCGCAAACACAUGUUAUGAAGAAAACAGCAGCAGAACACAAUCCUAGUCACCUUUGAGGGACUAUACAACAAAAGCCCUGCAGACUUAUCCAGACACCGAAACCUAGAUUUCAGCACCCCAAAACAUCUUUCUAUCACAUUCCGCGUGGACUUAUGUGCAUUAUUAUAAUUGUCUUCAGCAGGAGAAUCAGGUUGGGACAAUGGAGUAAGGAGCCAAGAGUAGCAGCCAUAACCAAUAUAGGCAGACAGAUAUAGGCAACAUUAGGACAUGUGGUUUAUGGAAAAAACAUAAUGACGAGGUUGAAGUUACCACACAUACACACAACACACUU